GUAUACCACCCAUACUUGAGUCCC
rnacentral:siRNA from 1 species